rnacentral:rRNA from 1 species
GAUAAGAAGUUAUCAAGGGCGUGCGGGGAAUGCCUAGGCUCUCGGAGGCGAAGAAGGACGCGAUAAGCUGCGAAAAGGUUCGGGGAUCUGCACAUAAGAGUUAAUCCGAACGUAUCCGAAUGGGACAACCCACUUGGUUGAAGACCAAGUAUCCUUAACAGGAGGCCAACCCGGUGAACUGAAACAUCUAAGUAACCGGAGGAAAAGAAAACAACAGUGAUUCCGCAAGUAGUGGCGAGCGAACGCGGAUUAGCCCAAACCAGUUCCGUUACGGCGGGAUUGGGGUUGUAGGACUGCUUUUUAGAAGUUGAUUGAAGUUGAACGAUCUGGGAAGGUCGGCCAGAGCAGGUGACAGCCCUGUAAGCGUAAAGGUCAACAACGUAGCAGUAUCCUGAGUAGGUGGGGACCGGUGAAAUCCCCUCUGAAUCUGGCGGCACCAUCCGCCAAGGCUAAAUACUCCCGAGAGACCGAUAGUGAACGAGUACCGUGAGGGAAAGGUGAAAAGUACCCCGAAUAGGGGGGUGAAAAGACCCUGAAACCGCACGCUUACAAGCGGUCGGAGCCACGUAGUGUGGUGACGGCGUGCCUUUUGCAUAAUGACCCUACGAGUUACGGUUACUGGCUAGGUUAAGUAUUGCAGAUACGGAGCCGAAGCGAAAGCGAGUCUGAAUAGGGCGAAGCAAGUCAGUGGCUGUAGACGCGAAACUUUGUGAUCUACCCAUGACCAGGUUGAAGUGUCGGUAACACGACAUGGAGGACCGAACCAGUUGACGUUGAAAAGUCUUUGGAUGAGUUGUGGGUAGGGGUGAAAGGCCAAUCAAACUGAGAGAUAGCUCGUACUCCCCGAAAUGUUUUUAGGAACAGCCUUGGGAUUGAGUUAUACGGAGGUAAAGCUACCGAUAGGACUAGGGGGAGUCAAAUCCUACCAAAUCCUGACGAACUCUGAAUGCCGUAUAAUAUGCCCAGGAGUGAGGGCUGGGGUGCUAAGGUCCCAGUCCGAGAGGGAAAGAACCCAGACCAUCCGCUAAGGCCCCUAAAUCAGGGCUAAGUUGAACAAAGGAGGUCCGACUGCAGAGACAGCCAGGAUGUUAGCUUGGAAGCAGCUAUUCAUUUAAAGAGUGCGUAACAGCUCACUGGUCGAGCGGGGCGGGCAUCGAUAAUAAACGGGCAUCAAGUCUUGUGCCGAAGCGAUGGAAGUAGUAAUACUUGGUAGGGGAGCAUUCUCAACGGCAGUGAAGGUGUGGCGGCAAGCCAUGCUGGAGCGUUGAGAAAAGCAAAUGUAGGGAUAAGUAACGAUAAGGAAGGUGAGAAACCUUCCCGCCGUAAGGAUCAGGAUUCCUCAGCUAUGCUAAUCAACUGAGGGUUAGUCGGGAGCUAAGGAGUUAGCGAAAGCGAAGCUUCGAUGCCCAGCAGGUUAAUAGUCCUGCACUUACACCAGUGCGAUGUAAUGACGGAGCAAAUGGGUUUCUACGUACGGACGGAAGUGUGCGUUGAGCCGAGCCCGCAAGGGCAAGGCGAAGAGAUGAGUUUGCUUCCAAGAAAAGUUACUAAGCUUCAGCUGGCUGUAACCCGUACCGCAAACCGACACAGGUAUCCGGGUAGAACAUACCAAGGCGCUCGAGUGAAUCACGGCUAAGGAACUCGGCAAAUUAACCCUGUAACUUCGGGAUAAGGGGAACCUACAGCAAUGUAGGUCGCAGAGAAAUGGCCCAGGCGACUGUUUAACAAAAACACAGGGCUUUGCUAAAACGAAAGUUGACGUAUAAGGCCUGACACCUGCCCGGUGCUGGAAGGUUAAGAGGGGAUGUUAGUCGCAAGGCGAAGCAUUGAAUCGAAGCCCCAGUAAACGGCGGCCGUAACUAUAACGGUCCUAAGGUAGCGAAAUUCCUUGUCGGGUAAGUUCCGACCUGCACGAAUGGUGUAACGAUCUGGGCACUGUCUCAGCCGUGAGCUCGGUGAAAUUGUAGUAGCGGUGAAGAUGCCGCUUACCCGCCACGGGACGGAAAGACCCCGUGAACCUUCACUACAGUUUUGCACUGACUUUUGGUAACUGGUGUGUAGGAUAGGUGGGAGGCUGUGAAGCGGUGUCGCUAGGCAUCGCAGAGCCAACGUUGAAAUACCACCCUCCGGUUGCUGGGAGUCUAACAUUAGCUUGGACAAUGCAUGAUGGGUAGUUUGACUGGGGUGGUCGCCUCCAAAAAAGUAUCGGAGGCUUUCAAAGGUACCCUCAGCACGCUUGGUAACCGUGCGUAGAGUGCAAUCGCAAAAGGGUGCUUGACUGUGAGGCAAACAGGCCGAGCAGGCACGAAAGUGGGAGAUAGUGAUCCGGCGGUUCCGUAUGGAAGGGCCGUCGCUCAAAGGAUAAAAGGUACUCCGGGGAUAACAGGCUGAUCUCCCCCAAGAGCUCACAUCGACGGGGAGGUUUGGCACCUCGAUGUCGGCUCGUCACAUCCUGGGGCUGGAGAAGGUCCCAAGGGUUCGGCUGUUCGCCGAUUAAAGUGGCACGCGAGCUGGGUUCAGAACGUCGUGAGACAGUUCGGUCCCUAUCUGUGGUGGGCGUUGGAAUUUUGAGAGGGCUUGACCUUAGUACGAGAGGACCGGGUUGAACCGACCGCUGGUAGACCAGUUGUUCCGCCAGGAGCACCGCUGGGUAGCCACGUCGGGUGAAGAUAAGCGCUGAAAGCAUCUAAGUGCGAAACUUGCCUCAAGAUGAGAAUUCCUAUGAGAGCCGUCAGAGACGAUGACGUUGAUAGGCUACCGGUCUAAAGCGAGUGAUCGCAAAGCCAAGUAGUACUAAUGCCUCCAAGACUUCUUAUU